AGAGUUUGAUCCUGGCUCAGGAUGAACGCUGGCGGCGUGCCUAAUACAUGCAAGUCGAGCGGAAACAGGGAGAGCUUGCUCUCCGCUGUCGAGCGGCGGACGGCUGAGUAACGCGUGGGAACGUACCCCAAACUGAGGGAUAACUGCUCGAAAGAGUAGCUAAUACCGCAUGUGCUCUACGGAGUAAAGCUUCGGCGGUU
rnacentral:rRNA from 1 species